rnacentral:rRNA from 1 species
UGGCGGCGUGCUUAACACAUGCAAGUCGAACGAGAGAAUUUGAGAGAAAACUUCGGUUGGAACUUAGAGGAUCUAGUGGCGGACGGGUGAGUAACGCGUGGGAAACCUGCCUUAUACAAGGGAAUAGCCUCGUGAAAACGGGAUUAAAACCCUAUAAAACUAUAGUAACGCAUGUUACAGUAGUCAAAACUCCGGUGGUAUAAGAUGGUCCCGCGUSCCAUUAGCUAGUUGGUAGAGGUAACGGCUCACCAAGGCGACGAUGGGUAKCCGGCCUGAAAGGGUGAACGGCCACACUGGAACUGAGACACGGUCCAGACUCCUACGGGAGGCAGCAGUGGGGAAUAUUGCACAAUGGGGGAAAGUCUGAUGGGGCGAUGCCGCGUGAACGAUGAAGGUCUUCGGAUUGUAAAGUUCUGUUGUAAGGGAAGAAAAAGAAUGAUAGGAAAUGUGAUCUGGAGCGAAUCCUAAGAAGCUGAUCUCAGUUCGGAUUGUAGGCUGCAACUCGCCUACAUGAAGCCGGAGUUGCUAGUAAUCGUGGAUCAGAAUGCCACGGUGAAUACGUUCCCGGGUCUUGUACACACCGCCCGUCACACCANCGAGAGUUGAUAACACCCGAAGCCGGUGAGCUAACCGUAAGGAGGCAGCCGUCGAAGGUGGGA